rnacentral:rRNA from 1 species
AGCAGCAGCCGCGGUAAUACGUAGGUCCCGAGCGUUGUCCGGAUUUAUUGGGCGUAAAGGGAGCGCAGGCGGUUUAGUAAGUCUGAAGUUAAAGGCAUUGGCUCAACCAAUGUAUGCUUUGGAAACUGUUAGACUUGAGUGCAGAAGGGGAGAGUGGAAUUCCAUGUGUAGCGGUGAAAUGCGUAGAUAUAUGGAGCAACACCGGUGGCGAAAGCGGCUCUCUGGUCUGUCACUGACGCUGAGGCUCGAAAGCGUGGGUAGCGAACAGGAUUAGAUACCCCUGUAGUCCCUGUCUCUUAUACA